GUGGGGAAUUUUGGACAAUGGGCGCAAGCCUGAUCCAGCAAUGCCGCGUGCAGGAAGAAGGCCUUCGGGUUGUAAACUGCUUUUGUCAGGGAAGAAAUCUUCUGGGCUAAUACCCCGGGAGGAUGACGGUACCUGAAGAAUAAGCACCGGCUAACUACGUGCCAGCAGCCGCGGUAAUACGUAGGGUGCGAGCGUUAAUCGGAAUUACUGGGCGGAAAGCGUGCGCAGGCGGUUAUGUAAGACAGAUGUGAAAUCCCCGGGCUCAACGUGGGAACUGCAUUUGUGACUGCAUGACUGGAGUGCGGCAGAGGGGGAUGGAAUUCCGCGUGUAGCAGUGAAAUGCGUAGAUAUGCGGAGGAACACCGAUGGCGAAGGCAAUCCCCUGGGCCUGCACUGACGCUCAUGCACGAAAGCGUGGGGAGCAAACAGGAUUAGAUACCCCUGUAGUCC
rnacentral:rRNA from 1 species